UACGAAGGUCCCAAGCGUUAUCCGGAUUUAUUGGGUUUAAAGGGUGCGUAGGCGGACUAUUAAGUCAGUGGUGAAAGCCCCAGGCCUAACCUGGGGAACUGCGCCGGAAACCGACAGACUCGAGUACCGGAGAGGAGGGUGGAAUUCCUGGUGUAGCGGUGAAAUGCGUAGAUAUCAGGAGGAACACCGGUGGCGAAGGCGGCCCUCUGGACGGAUACUGACGCUGAGGCGCGAAAGCGUGGGGAUCAAACAGG
rnacentral:rRNA from 1 species